AUUAAGUGUGGUAACAAAUAAGCUGUGUACAUAGUAAAAAAAUGUAAGGAGUGUGGAAGGAGAAUUUCGUGGCAUGAGAAUCUAGUUUGGAUUAAGACCAUUUCUCCGAGGAUCUGAGAAAGAAGAAAACAAGAUGAUGGACGGACCCUCAGCCUCCGUAUAUUGUACUGACCCUUAGUGAUUCGGUUUUUUCUUUAUGUAUUCGUCUAUACUCCUUCAAGAAUGUACAAAUUUGUGUGGAUUAUAACCUGUUUAGUUGUGUUUCUGACUGUGAUCUCCAAAGGAGGGAACCCCUCGCUGACUCGCUCUGACAUCCAGGCCCAGGGAAAGAAUUUGUUCCGGGCUUUAAGUAACUCUAACUGUAAAAUCGAUUGUUCCCGGAAGAAGAACCGGCCGGUGUGCGGGUCAGACGGCGUGACGUACAAACACAGGUGUGAACUCAAGCGUGCCAAAAGGUGUGACAAGAAAAAGGUCAAGGUCAAACGGAAAGGACCGUGUUCACGUGACCUCAGAAGCUGACAGUUCUAAUAGCGACUGUGUACGAGAGAGGAACGAGGCUCUAGAAAUCGCCCGACGACCUACUUUUGGGGUGUACAUACCGGAGUGCAAGCAAGAUGGUACGUACACGGAGAGACAAUGCCAUGUUACAAGUGGUUUUUGUUGGUGUGUGACCCCCGACGGAAAACCAAUCGAGGGGACACCCGUGCACGGGAGAGACCCGGCCUGUAGAGGUAUUAAUUGCCAAUUUCCGGUUCCUGUGCCAUGCGCUUCUUCCUGUGGACCUUGUGGCAUUGUUGUCUUUGACAACACAGCUUUGUUGACUAAACAACUUUGUAUACAUAUGUUUGGUGAUUGUUGUGCACAUCCAUGUUAUAAAUCAGAUCGUAUGAAUUACACUUGUUUUUAGAAUGUUCCAACAAAAAAAAUCCAGAGAAAAUAACGUAAUUAUAGAUGCUAACAGCAUGGCCAAGGUGUCAAUUUGCAUGAACAUUUAAAUGAUCUAAGAAACGUAGGCAGCCCAGACGUGACCGGGGCAAAUCUAAAUCUAAAUCUAAAAAGAAAAAACGAAGGAAAAGUUGCAAAACGGCAGACAAGCAGAAGUUUAACCAGAACAUAGUGCAGGUUUUUACAGAUGAAUACAAGAGGGCAGUGGUCGAUCCUGUUGCUCUUUCAUCUGACAAAGACAAAACACUUGCACAGAAAGUGAUUGAGUGGAAGUUUAAUCAACUUGAUUCGAACAAAGACGAUAUUUUAAAGCGUAGAGAAACACGGACUAUUAAACGAAUGGUGCGGAAGUUGAUACAGCCCAAAGCAUGCGCGCGCAGGUUUUUGGAGUAUUGUGACUCUGACAGAGAUCGAAUGAUUCAGCGGAAGGAAUGGACCUUCUGUCUCAACACCAACGCCAACAGUAAACAAUUGGGUUUACCCCGUUUCAUGUAGUUUCCCGUCGAAUUUUUUACUCCUUGACGACAGACCCAAAUGAGAAGAAAACAGACAACGACGAUCAGGAUGACUCCUCUCCUAAAGUCCAGAAGGCCAUCAUUGGGGGCCAGGGGAUUUCCCGGCCUGGCCUCAGUCCGCAACACCCCAACAUUGCUGACUCGAGACCAGACACGGAAGUCAUUAGAAAGAGUUGUUUGGAAGAGCAAGCAUCCUCCCUCAGUCAGCAAUCAGUGGAUCCAAACGGCGGUAUAUAUAUACCGCAGUGUACUCCUGAUGGCAAAUUCAAUAUUGUACAAUGCCACAAGUACUGUUGGUGUGCCGACCAAGAGACGGGCACGCCACUCAAAGGGAUAAAGGCCAUCUUAGCCAGCAAGGGGCCUCCAAACUGCAAUAUCACCGCGGAGCGUGCAAUGCCUGGUUGUCCAUUUAUCAAGAAAGCCAGAUUCUUAACCAGUUUGUUGAAUAUGUUUGUGUCAGAAAUGCAGAACGAUUCCAUGGCUAGUCAAAAAAACAGCAAACGACAAAGAGAAUGCCUACGAAAAUGCGGCAAGAUGGAAAUUCACCAAUCUUGAUAAAAACAAGAACAUGAAUUUAGACAGGAGGGAAGUGAAACAAUUUCGUAAACUUAUUCCUAAGCAGAAAAACACUAGAAAGUGCAGCCGGACUUUCCUCCGAUAUUGUGACGAAAACACCAACAAGAAAAUAUCGUUAGACGAAUGGUUGAGUUGCACAAAAUUAAGUGAGAGUCCACCACGAAAAGGUAAAAAUCCUCUAAGAGAAUACUUAAAGCCGAGUUAGGAUAGAAAUGUCGCCCAAAUCGAGACAGGGUCAGUAUAUGGCGAUGUUCUUCAGUGACGCCCCGUGACUUCAGUGGAAUUAUGGUCGCUUCAGUUCGGCCGGCGUAUUCCUAACCGCGGACUGACGUCUUUAAAUAAAUCACGUGAUCUCAGAAAGCCAACGUAAUUGUGACAACCUGCAACGUUGCUAAGGAAGCCGAUGACGUUUGCAGCUAUGUCUUCAUAGUCCCAGGAACAAGUAUUAGUUAGUGAAAUAUCAACUCCAAUCAAUGUCUAAUUUGUUGAUCAUUUUCAUCGUGUGUUCUACUCAUUUUUAUUUCGUGUAAAGUGCAGCAUUCAUUUUAAGGAAUAUGAGUUCUAAAGAUUCUUGAUGUGAAUUCGACGGAGGAUAUUGUGUCGCUAUUCAAGAAAUUGUCAAUACUUGUCGUAUCUGUGAUGCAAAAUUAAUAGCAAAACUUUCAAGGGAAUAAAAUCAUGAGUAAAAAAAACUACAUUGUACAUGUAUGUCCAUGUAGCGAAACUGAUACGAUAUCAAGAACUACAUAUUGUGGACGAAUUCUUGGCUGUCAGAUUUAAAACUUUACAUUGUGAAUGACUGGUACGGUCGUUUGCUUUUUGGCUUGUUCACUUGAAUAUUUAUUAUUCAAACCACAAGAACCCCAUGCAUCAUCUAAUUGACAAUUAUGUAACAUAUGUAAGUUUAUGUAUGUUUUGUGUUUUAUUGUACGACGCGAUGCAGAGAAAUAGGCCGUUCUGAGGCCAUAGCUUCAGGACGACUCUGGGUCGUUUUUCUGUUCUGUUAUUUAUAUUCAUGUAUUUAAUGAUAUAUCUUGUUAAUGAUGCACACAUUUGUACAGGCUUGUCUCUUUUAUGUUAUUGAGUCGUUCAAACAAUGUUUCAUGUUUUGAUCAAAAUAUACUUAACUAAUUUAAUAAAUACAUUGACUG
rnacentral:misc_RNA from 1 species